GACAGAGGGUGCAAACGUUGUUCGGAAUUACUGGGCGUAAAGCGAGUGUAGGCGGUUUCCUAAGUCAGGUGUGAAAGCCCCGGGCUCAACCCGGGAAGUGCACUUGAAACUGGGUCGCUAGAGUAUCGGAGAGGUUGGUGGAAUUCUCGGUGUAGAGGUGAAAUUCGUAGAUAUCGAGAGGAACACCGGUGGCGAAGGCGGCCAACUGGACGAAUAACUGACGCUGAGACUCGAAAGCGUGGGGAGCAAACAGG
rnacentral:rRNA from 1 species